UUGAGUUACGACCAUAAAAUACCUACUAACAAACUGAACAAUAUUUAGGUUCAAAGAAGUUCAAAGACAAAUCACAGAAUUAUCGGGAUCAAAACACAAUGAUCCGACAAGUCACAUUUUCUAUCGCAUUGCUGUUAUUGUCAUGCGCUGCGCAAGAGCAGGGUGCUGAAAAUACUACAACUACCACUAAAGAAAACAAUAAUAUAACACAGCAGACUAGUACAGAAAAUGGCCCCAAGUUGAUAGAACAGAACAUUUCUGAAUUAGAUCCAGUCAUAGAACGUUCUUCGCAUUUCCACCACCACAUCCCUGAGGCUUAUUACCACCACCACCAGCCCACGUACCAUGGGUUCUGGAAGAAAAAGUUUGUGUGGCGACCGCGGUGGGUGAAAACAUGGCAAGAGAAAAAGGUCUACGUAGCAGUAUGGAAGAGGAUGUGGGGUCCAGCGAUGCUCAACGAAUGGGUCCCGAUCCCCAAACCUCCCCCAGGCUGGGUAAAACAUGGCGUAGGCUCAUUCGUCGUGCAAACACACCCACACUAAUUAGUACCUAAUAUGAGUUUCGAAUCAUGACGUAUUUCUUUAAUUAAUUGUAUUAAUUUGUGUAUCAGUAUAAUUGAAAACCGUUAAUUUAAUAUCUCACAUAUUGUUAAAUAUUUUACUGAAAAGUUCAGUGGAACUGUAGCGGGAAGGCACGGAUAUUUAUCGUUUUGUUUACUGAAAACCAUAACAUUGACACCGCUCGUCUCUAACUUAGGACUAACUACUUACACGUCCACGGCGUGUCUAUUUCCUAAACCAACUAAUUGGUUGGGCAGUGUUCACCACGUCUUAGAUACUUUGUAAAGCUGUCUAACCGAGUUUCCACUACUUGUGAACUCUGUCUCUUGUCUUUUAUUAGCAACUAUUUAACAAUGCAACUGAAAAUAGGAUAUAGGCAAAUCAACUGCGAUUUUUAUCUAACUACUGCAUUUUCAUUACUUACUCCGUGUUAGGUUUUAUUAUAUCCACUCUCAGACCAUGAGACUUUUUAUAAUCGAGUCAGUACUUAUAUCAUUGUAUGGUAUGAUUUGUAGGUGCGAUUAUGUAUCUACAGACGCCUAGACGCUAGGAAAAUUUGUCACUCUCUACAGUUACAGUUAAAAAUCUAGGUGUGCCAGAAAUACUACAUCAAACGAAACCCACAGAUAAACCAAACAAAGCCCUCUGCCAAAAAAAUAGGUUUCGCAAAAGUCGCUUCGUGAAAUAUUUUCUAAAAAUGUUGAAUUUCGCCCCUUUGCUCCGAUGCGUUUCAUUUUUGGGGUGCAUCUAUUUGGAUUCGUUUUUUAACAUUUUGUUAUCACAGCGAGUUAAUUAAUGAAGUAUUAAUUGCUAACAGUAACGAGCUUCAAACUGGUGCAUUGCAAGCCUAUUAAUAGACGACGCAUUAAACUUACAUCGCAUUGAUAAGAAAUGCACCGCGCAAUGCGUUGCAAAAUAUGUUAGUAAAUAAAUUCGGUCCCUCGGAUCGACUGUCGCGCAUCCCUCGUGAGCUGUCAGUAUCCCGGGAUAAUGUAGCUUCUAGCCUCGGGAAUAGUGAGAUAUUUUUAACUGUUACGGUGAAAUCACUUUUAUUUAUCAUUGGACCAAUCUUUCCAGAGAACCUUCAUACAACCUGAAAUGUACAGAUAUACAACUUUAGUAGGUUUCAACGCUUAAAGGACAUCUGAGACAAAAAACUUCCAGAUGAUUUCUUUAGCGUGGUUGUCCCUAGCCAUGCUAGCGGGCACGCUAGCAUUUCCCAGCGAGCAUAUGGUGACACUCUGUGGA